rnacentral:rRNA from 1 species
UGGGGAAUAUUUGACAAUGGGCGCAAGCCUGAUCCAGCCAUGCCGCGUGGGUGAUGAAGGCCCUAGGGUUGUAAAGCCCUUUCGGCGGGGAAGAUAAUGACGGUACCCGCAGAAGAAGCCCCGGCUAACUUCGUGCCAGCAGCCGCGGUAAUACGAAGGGGGCUAGCGUUGCUCGGAAUCACUGGGCGUAAAGCGCACGUAGGCGGAUUGCUAAGUCAGGGGUGAAAUCCUGGAGCUCAACUCCAGAACUGCCCUUGAUACUGGCGAUCUCGAGUCCGGGAGAGGUGAGUGGAACUGCGAGUGUAGAGGUGAAAUUCGUAGAUAUUCGCAAGAACACCAGUGGCGAAGGCGGCUCACUGGCCCGGUACUGACGCUGAGGUGCGAAAGCGUGGGGAGCAAACAGG